rnacentral:piRNA from 1 species
UCCCAGGAUGCCUUUGCCCUUUUGCG